rnacentral:rRNA from 1 species
CACUCCUACGGGAGGCAGCAGUGGGGAAUUUUGGACAAUGGGCGAAAGCCUGAUCCAGCAAUGCCGCGUGAGUGAAGAAGGCCUUCGGGUUGUAAAGCUCUUUUGUCAGGGAAGAAACGGUGAGAGCUAAUAUCUCUUGCUAAUGACGGUACCUGAAGAAUAAGCACCGGCUAACUACGUGCCAGCAGCCGCGGUAAUACGUAGGGUGCAAGCGUUAAUCGGAAUUACUGGGCGUAAAGCGUGCGCAGGCGGUUUUGUAAGUCUGAUGUGAAAUCCCCGGGCUCAACCUGGGAAUUGCAUUGGAGACUGCAAGGCUAGAAUCUGGCAGAGGGGGGUAGAAUUCCACGUGUAGCAGUGAAAUGCGUAGAUAUGUGGAGGAACACCGAUGGCGAAGGCAGCCCCCUGGGUCAAGAUUGACGCUCAUGCACGAAAGCGUGGGGAGCAAACAGGAUUAGAAACCCUAGUAGUCCCAUGAU